CCGUGAAAAAAUUAGAGUGUUCAAAGCAGGCAGAUCCAAUUUUCUGCCACCGAAUACAUUAGCAUGGGAUAAUGGAAUAGGACCCUGUCCUCCUAUUUUCAGUUGGUUUGCCGCGAGGACCAGGGUAAUGAUUAAUAGGGAUAGUUGGGGGCAUUAAUAUUUAAUUGUCAGAGGUGAAAUUCUUGGAUUUAUGAAAGAUUAACUUCUGCGAAAGCAUCUGCCAAGGAUGUUUUCAUUAAUCAAGAACGAAAGUUAGGGGAUCGAAGACGAUCAGAUACCGUCGUAGUCUUAACCAUAAACGAUGCCGACCAGCGAUUAGGAGACGUUGAAUACAAAACACCACCAUGCGCAUUGCGGUCGUCUUUGGUGUCGCUCACAAGGCGGCACCGGGGCGGCUCCGUAUCAGCCACCCGACGGCCCGGUGAAUGACUCCGAA
rnacentral:rRNA from 1 species